UAGGUGACGGUCUCUUUUCAAGAUAGCAUUAUGAUUAUGUUAUCUUAUCUUAUCAUUGACAUCAAUGAAUCAUCAUCAUCAUCAUCAUCAUCAUCAUCUGGAACAGCUUUUACUGAUACUGUUACCUUCCUGUGAGUCCCUACACUCUCCUCCUGCUCCUGCUCACGCUGUCCCUCCUCGGCCACCCUGUCACAUGCUUGCUCCUCUGCCUGCUCCUCUGCCUCCUCCUUUCAGUUCCACCUGUUGCUGCACAAUGACGGUUACUGUAUCCUAGAUGGUGAAGCUACGGCAGCUCUGCUGCAAACAUGUAUCUUAUUUUUGCACAUUUGCCUCUAGAUUUUGCGCUUUGGUUCAUUAAUUUUGAUGCCCUCUUCCAUCUACAGAAUUUGGGCUCUGAGCCACGGCAUCUGACAAGAGAAAAAGGAGGAUAGAGGGGGAAGGUUGGGUAAAAUAUGCAAUUUGGACAGCCCUGUGUCAGUAUAAACAUUUUUACCAAUGGGUCGCUGUCCUUGCUUCAUGGAUCGAUCAUUGGCAACUUGAUCACGGGUCAACAUCAAAAGCAACAGCCAGGAAAUGGAAUGCUGUGCGACGCGUGAUGGCAGUCACCCAUUUGCAGCCUCAGGAGUGUGGCAGUGGCCACCUGUCGUGAGGCAUCCACUCCCUCUGCAUAAAUGGCUGUUAGAUCUCUCCACGGACUCCACCAGUCUCCCUUACAUCUUCACAGAAACAGGACAAUUAAUAUCAGCCAGACGCUUUGAUGAGAAAACAGAGAUAUGGCUCCUUCAAACAGCUGGACUGGACAGAGUAGACAUGAAACUAGCUCUUACACAAUGCAAUGCCAAGUAAACACGGAUAGAAUAAUUCUUCAACCGAGAGCCAAUCAGGAAAGUUUGGUCUAUACCUAAUUACACAACAGAGGUUUAACUGACUUAUCUUUACAAGGAUGGAUAAAUGAAAGGAAUAAUGUAUGUAUGUAUGUAUGUAUGUAUGUAUGUAUGUAUGUAUGUAUGUAUGUAUGUAUGUAUGUAUGUAUGUAUAGUUGACUAAUCCUCCCGUCAGAUGGACUGUUAAUCCUCAUGGAACUGAUAUAAGAUUGCUACCUUUGCAUCAAACAGCUACUCUCCCCCUCCAGUGGGGCUCCAUAGACUGUGGCUAAGGGGUUGACAUUGCAGCAACUGGAAAGAUUAAGAAUGACACAACAUUUACAGGAAAGAGGAUUUUAAACAGUAUUGAUUUAUGUUCAGUUCAUCUCAUUUUUAUGUUUCUGUUUUUAUCAUAUUUUACGUAUUUAAAAAUUCAUAUAGUUUAUACUUCAGCAGGGUUGGGGAGUAACUAGUAACAUGUAAUGUAGAGUUAUAUAAUUAAAUUACAGAAUAAAUGUAUUGUAAUCUGUUACA
rnacentral:lncRNA from 1 species